UGCAUCUGAAGGUUAUAAGGAUGAGAGCCUCCGGGGAAGGAGGUUCGACUCGAGCGAAGCGAGAGAACGUUGCUUCAGCAACGGCCCGCAGGGCGAGUCACGAACUGACGAGUAGUCCUCUCUCGCCGACUA
rnacentral:sRNA from 2 species